UACGAAGGGGGCUAGCGUUGCUCGGAAUUACUGGGCGUAAAGGGCGCGUAGGCGGCGCAAGUAGUCAGGCGUGAAAUUCCUGGGCUUAACCUGGGGGCUGCGCUUGAUACGCUUGUGCUAGAGGAUGGAAGAGGCUCGUGGAAUUCCCAGUGUAGAGGUGAAAUUCGUAGAUAUUGGGAAGAACACCGAUGGCGAAGGCAGCCAUCUGGACCGACACUGACGCUGAGGCGCGAAAGCGUGGGGAGCAAACAGG
rnacentral:rRNA from 1 species